ACGGGAGGCAGCAGUGGGGAAUAUUGGACAAUGGGGGAAACCCUGAUCCAGCGACGCCGCGUGAGUGAAGAAGUAUUUCGGUAUGUAAAGCUUUUUAAGCAGGAAAGAAAAUGACGGUACCUGCAGAAUAAGCCCCGGCUAACUACGUGCCAGCAGCCGCGGUAAUACGUAGGGGGCAAGCGUUAUCCGGAUUUACUGGGUGUAAAGGGAGCGUAGACGGCAAUGCAAGUCUGAAGUGAAAGCCCGCGGCUUAACUACGGGACUGCUUUGGAAACUGCAUGGCUAGAGUGUCGGAGAGGUGAGUGGAAUUCCCAGUGUAGCGGUGAAAUGCGUAGAUAUUGGGAGGAACACCAGAGGCGAAGGCGAGUAACUGGACCGCGACUGACACUGAGGCACGAGAGCGUGGGGAGCAAACAGGAUUAGAUACCCUGGUA
rnacentral:rRNA from 1 species